rnacentral:rRNA from 1 species
GAUGAACGCUGGCGGCAGGCCUAACACAUGCAAGUCGAGCGGAUGAGAGGAGCUUGCUUCUCGAUUCAGCGGCGGACGGGUGAGUAAUGCCUAGGAAUCUGCCUGGUAGUGGGGGACAACGUUUCGAAAGGAACGCUAAUACCGCAUACGUCCUACGGGAGAAAGCAGGGGACCUUCGGGCCUUGCGCUGUCAGAUGAGCCUAGGUCGGAUUAGCUAGUUGGUGAGGUAAUGGCUCACCAAGGCGACGAUCCGUAACUGGUCUGAGAGGAUGAUCAGUCACACUGGAACUGAGACACGGUCCAGACUCCUACGGGAGGCAGCAGUGGGGAAUAUUGGACAAUGGGCGAAAGCCUGAUCCAGCCAUGCCGCGUGUGUGAAGAAGGUCUUCGGAUUGUAAAGCACUUUAAGUUGGGAGGAAGGGUUGUAGAUUAAUACUCUGCAAUUUUGACGUUACCGACAGAAUAAGCACCGGCUAACUCUGUGCCAGCCGCCGCAGUAAUAC